rnacentral:lncRNA from 1 species
ACGUUAGUUAUCCUUGUAAACAAAUGGUAUGAAGAUACUAAUAUGGUAUGCAAGUGAGAUAUAGAAGUACAUCAUCACUGAAUAUGGCCAACUGUGGAAAACUCUGCUGUCAAGGGUAGCUUACGAAGGGUAUGAGUAUAAGUAUCCUUCUGACCUGAGAUCAUCAUGGUGACUUGCAAGCAACUCACUGUACUUUGAUGCCAGACUAACUGAGUUUCUAAUUUAGUGAUAGAAAGUUUCUGGGUAUAGUCAAGUACUUGUCAAGUUAGUAUGUGAGUCA